CAAGAACUGGUGUCACCUUUAUUGGUUUCCGUCCACUCGGGCCUGGCUGUCCCCACGGUGGCCGUGACCGUCCCCAUGGUGGCCCUGACCAUCCCCACGGUGGCCCUGAACAUCCUCGUGGUGACCAUGACCAACCCUGCGGUGGCCUUGGCCAUCUCCUUGGUGGCCCUGGCCACUCCCAUGGUGGCCCUGACCCUGUCUGUGGUGGCCCUGGCUGUCCCUGCAGUGGCCCAUGUCGUUCUCAUGGUGGCCUUGGCUGUCCCCAUGGUGGCCACGGUAGCCCUGGCAGCGGAUCUCCCCCAUGGUGGCCGUGGACACAGUAGCUGUCCCCGUGGUGGCCAUCGCGGUGGCCCUGGCUGUCCUGUGGAGGCCUUGGUGGCCCUGACUGCCCCCACGGUGGCCCGGGUUGUCCCAACGGUGGCCCUAGCUGUCCCCACAGUGACUGUGGUGGCCCUGGUGGUGAACCUGGCUGUCCCAACCAUGGCCCUGCCCAUCCCUGCAGUGGCCGUGGUGGCCCUGACUGUCCCCAUGGUGGCCAUGGUGGCCCUGGUUGUCCCCACAGUAGCCAUGGUGGUGGCCCUGGCUCUCCCCAUGCUGGCCAUGGUCCUGGCCGUCCCAGCAGUGACCAUGGUGGCCCUGGCUGUCUCUGUGGUGGCCCUGGUUGUUCCUGUAGUGGCCAUGGUGGCCCAGAUUGUUCCUGCRGUGGCCCUGGCUGUCCCCAUGGUGGCUGUGGUGGCCCCAGGUGUCCCCAUGGUGGCCCUGACUGUCCCUGCGGUGGCCACGGUGGCCCUGGCUGUCCCUGCGGUGGCCGUGGUGGCCCUGGCUGGUCCCGUGGUGGCCCUGGCUGUCCCUGCGGUGGCCCUGGUGGCCCUGGCUGGUCCCGCGGUGGCCCCGGUGACCGUGGUUGUCCCCGCUGUGGCCCCGGCGGUCCCCGUGGUGGCCCUGGCUGUCCCCGCGGUGGCCACGGUGGCCGCGGUUGUCCCUGCGGUGACCCUGGCCGGGGCCCUUCCCUU
rnacentral:lncRNA from 1 species